CAGUCGAGCGGACGGAAGGGAGCUUGCUCCCGGAUGUUAGCGGCGGACGGGUGUGUAACACAUGGGUAACCUGCCUGUAGGACUGGGAUAUCUCCGGGAAACCGGAGCUAAUACCGGAUAGUUCCUUGAACCGCAUGGGUCACGGAUGAAAGACGGUUUCCGCUGUCACUUACAUAUGGACCCCCGGCUCAUUAGCUAUUUGGUGAGGUAACGGCUCACCCAGGCGACGAUGCGUAGCCGACCUGAGAGGGUGAUCGGCCACACUGGGACUGAGACACGGCCCAAACUCCUACGGGAGGCAGCAGUAGGGAAUCUUCCGCACUGGACGAAAGUCUGACAGAGCAACACCGCGUGAGUGAUGAAGGUUUUCGGAUCGUAAAGCUCUGUUGUUAGGGAAGAACAAGUGCGAGAGUAACUGCUUGCACCUUGACGGUACCUAACCAGAAAGCCACGGCUAACUACGUGCCAGCAGCCGCGGUAAUACGUAUGUGGCAAGCGUU
rnacentral:rRNA from 1 species